AUGGUUCAGGACGAACAAGUGAAUGAAAGGAAAAUAUCACAGUUGAAGUCAUUUGCGAGUAAAGCAAUCGAGAGAAAUGAUUACAUUUCUGCAUCAGCGUUCUAUACCAAGGCAAUAGAUGUUGACCCUAACGAUGCAACCUUGUUCUCAAACAGGAGCCUUUGUUGGCUCCGCACUGGUGAUGGACCAAAGGCUCUGUUGGACGCUCUUCACAGCAGAGAAAUGCGGCCUGACUGGCCAAAGGCCUGCUACCGGCAGGGCGCAGCUCUGAUGUUACUGAAGGACUACAAGAGCGCAUGCGAAGUGCUUCUUGAUGGAUUCAAGUUGGACCCAGAAAAUGCCGAGAUG
rnacentral:rRNA from 1 species